AUUGAACGCUGGCGGCAGGCCUAACACAUGCAAGUCGAGCGAGCGGCGGACGGGUGAGUAGUUUAUGGGGACCUGCCCGAUAGAGGGGGAUAACUACUGGAAACGGUGGCUAAUACCGCAUACUAUCCUUUGAACCCCUAUGGGAUUAGCUAGUAGGUGGGGUAAAGGCUCACCUAGGCGACGAUCCCUAGCUGGUCUGAGAGGAUGAUCAGCCACACUGGGACUGAGACACGGCCCAGACUCCUACGGGAGGCAGCAGUGGGGAAUAUUGCACAAUGGGCGCAAGCCUGAUGCAGCCAUGCCGCGUGUAUGAAGAAGGCCUUAGGGUUGUAAAGUACUGUCAGCAGGGAGGCGGUACCCGAAGAAGAAGCACCGGCUAACUCCGUGCCAGCAGCCGCGGUAAUUC
rnacentral:rRNA from 1 species